UCUCAAAUAGUUGAAACAAACUCACAAGCUCAUACAUGAACAAAACUACCUCAAUAGCCUAACUGGACAUGGGGUUACAUACAUGGAAAUUGCAGCAAUGUUGUUGCUGCCCGGUUAGGCGGUUACAACAGCGUCCUGUUAAACGACAACAAUGUUUUCAGAAAAUGAUAUAGUGACUGUUCAAGCAUAACAAGAAUACGUGCAUGUAAAGAAUUUGCAGAUACUUGCAGUUAGAUUGAAGCCAGGAGCAGAGAGAACCUCAAGGAAAUGUUGAAGUUGCAUAUAAUGAAGAACACGAGAGAAAGAACUCGAUAUAUAGUGUUGCAUAUUUCUCGGCUAUGCUAUUGAUUUGGAUCAUAUUC
rnacentral:lncRNA from 1 species